rnacentral:rRNA from 1 species
GUAGUCCACGCCGUAAACUAUGUCUACUAGCCGUUGGGAGACUUGAUCUCUUAGUGGCGCAGCUAACGCGAUAAGUAGACCGCCUGGGGAGUACGGUCGCAAGACUAAAACUCAAAUGAAUUGACGGGGGCCCGCACAAGCGGUGGAGCAUGUGGUUUAAUUCGAUGCAACGCGAAGAACCUUACCAGGUCUUGACAUCCUGCGAACCUUUCAGAGAUGAGAGGGUGCCUUCGGGAGCGCAGAGACAGGUGCUGCAUGGCUGUCGUCAGCUCGUGUCGUGAGAUGUUGGGUUAAGUCCCGUAACGAGCGCAACCCUUGUCCUUAGUUGCCAUCAUUUAGUUGGGAACUCUAAGGAGACUGCCGGUGACAAACCGGA